GAAGAGUGGCUCAGGUAGCUCAUGACAGACCACAAGGAUCACCAUUCACUCAGGUUCAGGUCCGUCAGAACUACAAAAUUAAAUAAAUGAAUGAAUGAAUGAAUGAAUGAAUAAAUAAAUAAAUAAAAAGACCUUGUCUCAACACCUCCCCUCGUUCCCCUAAAGAAGGUUUAGCCCAUGCCUUUUGGCCUGUGGUGAGUCAAAACAUAUGGUGUGUAGCAGAAACAUCCACUCAUGUUAGGGCAUCAGGAAAGAAGAGGAAAGAGCAAGGGCCAGGGUCUCAGUAGACCCUUUGGGGGUGGUGUUGUCUCAGAAGAGUGGCUCAGGUAGCUCAUGACAGACCACAGCAGGCCAAAACAGUUCCACUUGAGGUUUAUCGUAGGGGAAAGGGACAUAGGUGGCAGCAAAGAAGAGGGGAGCAGAGGGAAGAGAGAGAGAGAGAGAGGUUUGAGGGGUCUGCCUUUCAUUUGAGUAGUGACAUAGCUGCUUGCAGGUAAAGGUGGGAGGUGAGCCUAGUGGAUUCUGGGAAUGUGUGGCGGUUGCCUUAGCAACAGAUGUGCGAUUCCCUGUCACCAUGUUUGAUGUCACUGGGUUUGGAGCCGAUCUGCAGCUCUGAUACCUAGAUGCCAAUAGAUAAGGCCUCAAUUAUCUACUUCUCUGUGCUCUACCUUCCCAAAUUCUUUUUUUAAAAAAGAUUUAUUUAUUAUUAUAUAAUAAGUACACUGUUGCUGUCUUCAGAUGUACCAGAAGAGGGUGAUCAGAUCUCAUUACGGGUGGUUGUGUGCCACCAUGUGCUUGCUGGGAUUCGAACUCAGGACCUUCGGGAGAGCAGAGCUGCCAUCUCGCCAGCCCCCAAACUUCUAAUCACUGUCUAAAGCACAUUGGGAGCUAGGAACCAAGCCUCCCCCAAAGAAACUUUGCUGGGGCCUUAAAACCCAAUCCCCAGCAUGUAGGAGCUUAGAAACACGCCCAGUCUUAGACCAACUCCUUCUCUCGAACAAAACACUUCCCAAGCCAAUGGCAAACUACCUUGGUUGGAGCUUGGAAGUCAGCUAUAUACCUAAAACCAAAGCUGACUGAAGCCAUACACUCAACAUUUCCCUAUACGGCCCAGUUACUACAAAAGGAAAAUAAUAAUUUUCGGUGAAAAAAGACAGCAGCCAUCACUUUAACAGAGCAGUGAGGUGAACAUCAUAAAAUGAAACAUCAACAUCAUAGAGAUCCUGAGAAAAAUCAUGUGUCGCUUCCGUGAUCUAACGAAAAUGCAUACUCUCAAGGCUGGUGAGACGCCUCAGUGUGUAGAGACACUCGGUACCACGCUGUGUGACUUGAGUUCAAUAUCCGGGACCCAUAUCUUGGAAGAAGAGAAUCAACUCCUAAAAGUUGUUCUCUGAUCCUCCCCCAUGGGUGGAUACCCAUGUAUGUGCAUGCACACACACACACACACACACACACACACACACACACACACACACACACACACGAAUAAAUAAACACAUAAAUAUAAAAAUUAAUGCAUAACUUCAGGACAGAGGGGUGUCUCAGGGGUUUAGAGGGUACACAGCUCUUGCAGAGGACUCCAGUUGGUUUCCUGGAACCCAUGUCUCAAAACCACAGGCAGGCAACUCUUGGUUCAG
rnacentral:lncRNA from 1 species